GUUUCAAUUUAAUAACUGUGCUUCCUUUCAGAGUUCUGUUUUUUUCUUUUUUUUAAUCCUCACCCGAGGAUAUUUUUCCAUUGAUUUUUAGAGAGAGUGGAAGAGAGAGGGAAAGACGAAGAGAAAUAUUGAUGUGAGAGAAACACAUCGAUCGGUUGCCUCCUGCAUGAGCCCCAACCAGGGUCUGGGGGACAGAGAGGAGCCUGCAACAGAGAUACCUCGGAAAGAAUUACUUCUGACAACAAACUGUUUCUGACCACCUCCACUCUCCCUGCCACAAAACACGGAAUCAACUUGUUACUGCUCUUAAGAACAGUGUUAGAAACCAAACAGGCACUGGAUGCAUGUCCGGUGAUUCCUCGUGUCUCUGGAAUACGAAAGUGACAGCAGAAGACAGCUACUUACAUUCAUUUAGAUGGAGAAUGAGACAUUCUUCUUUUUAAAAAAACAACAA